rnacentral:rRNA from 1 species
UGAUCUUUAACGGCCGCGGUACUUUGACCGUGCUAAGGUAGCAUAAUCAGUUGACUUUUGAUUGAAGUCUGGAAUGAAUGGGAGAACGGAAUCAAGCUGUCUCGAUCUCUUUAUUACGAAUUUACUAAUUAAGUGAAAAGGCUUAAACAAGAUAAAAGACGAGAAGACCCUGAGAGUUUUAUUAUUUUUUCGUUGGGGCGACGGAUAAUCAGUGGAACAUUCUUACUUAACAGGACGGUUUUAUCAUGUGUGGAUAAACUACCUCAGGGAUAACAGCAUAAUCUUUUUAGGUUUGUGACCUCGAUGUUGGACUAGGAAGCUUUAUGGCUAGCCGCCUUUAAAGGGGAUUCUGUUCGAA